rnacentral:rRNA from 1 species
AACAGCUAUGGGUCAAGUCCGAUAUCUUUAGGAGAAGUCUUAUUGUGAGGGCGAGUUUUAUAACACCAUAGGACUGGCCGUCCCAUAUGAAAAGAUUAUAUUAGAAUUGAAUGAAGCUUUGUUUAUAUAUUGAUAAUGACAGUAUAUAUAUCGUGUCUUGACUAAUUGCGUGCCAGCAGUCGCGGUAAUACGUAAGAGACUAGUGUUAUUCAUCUUAAUUAGGUUUAAAGGGUACCCAGACGGUCAAUAUAGCUUAUAAAAUGUUAGUACUUGACUAGAGUUUUAUGUAAGAGGGCAGUACUUGAGGAGGAGAGAUGAAAUUUCGUGAUACCAAAGGGACUCUGUAAAGGCGAAGGCAGCCCUCUAUGUAAAAACUGACGUUGAAGGACGAAGGCACAGAGAACAAACAGGAUUAGAUACCCAAGUAGUCUUUGCAGUAAAUGAUGAAUGCCAUAGGUUAGAUGGGUGGGUAGUCUAGUUGAGUUAAUUUAGCAAACUAAUGAUCUAGACUAGUCCACCAUAUAUUUGGUCUAUAAAUGAAAGUGUAAGCAUUUCACCUCAAGAG